AGUCAAUAGAUACCCGGGUAGUCCAUGCCGUAAACGAUGAUUGCUAGGUGUGGGGGGUCUGACCCCUUCCGUGCCGGAGUUAAACACAAAUAAGCAAUCCACCUGGGGAGUACGGCCGCAAGGUUGAAACUCAAAGGAAUUGACGGGGGCCCGCACAAGCAGUGGAGUAUGUGGUUUAAUUCGAAGCAACGCGAAGAACCUUACCAGGUCUUGACAUCCACCGAAUCCUGUAGAGAUACGGGAGUGCCCUUCGGGGAACGGUGAGACAGGUGGUGCAUGGUUGUCGUCAGCUCGUGUCGUGAGAUGUUGGGUUAAGUCCCGCAACGAGCGCAACCCUUGUGAAUAGUUGCUACGAAAGAGCACUCUAUUCAGACCGCCGUUGACAAAACGGAGGAAGGUGGGGAUGACGUCAAAUCAUCAUGCCCCUUAUGACCUGGGCUACACACGUACUACAAUGGCCGUUAACAGAGGGAUGCAAUGCCGCGA
rnacentral:rRNA from 1 species